rnacentral:rRNA from 1 species
CCAUUCGAAAGAGAGAUUAAUACCCCGUAAUAAAUUGAACGGCAUCGUUUGAUUUUGAAAGCUCCGGCGGUUUGAGAUGAGUAUGCGUCUGAUUAGCUAGUUGGUGAGGUAACGGCUCACCAAGGCGACGAUCAGUAGGGGAUCUGAGAGGACUAACCCCCACACUGGUACUGAGACACGGACCAGACUCCUACGGGAGGCAGCAGUAAGGAAUAUUGGUCAAUGGAGGCAACUCUGAACCAGCCAUGCCGCGUGCAGGAUGACGGCCCUAUGGGUUGUAAACUGCUUUUAUACAAGAGAAAACCCUGGUACGUGUACCAGGUUGAUAGUAUUGUAAGAAUAAGCAUCGGCUAACUUCGUG